rnacentral:rRNA from 1 species
AGAGUUUGAUCCUGGCUCAGAAUCAACGCUGGCGGCAUGCCUAACACAUGCAAGUCGAACGAGAAAGUGGAGCAAUCCAUGAGUAAAGUGGCGCACGGGUGAGUAACACGUGACUAACCUACCUUCGAGUGGGGAAUAACUCCGGGAAACCGGGGCUAAGACCGCAUAAUAUCGAGAGAUCAAAUGCGAAAGCAGCUUGAAGAGGGGGUCGCGGUUGAUUAGCUAGUUGGUGAGGUAAUGGCUCACCAAGGCGAUGAUCAAUAGCCGGCCUGAGAGGGCGCACGGCCACACUGGAACUGAAACACGGUCCAGACUCCUACGGGAGGCAGCAGUGGGGAAUUUUGCGCAAUGGGGGAAACCCUGACGCAGCAAUGCCGCGUGGAGGAUGAAGUCCUUUGGGAUGUAAACUCCUUUCGAUCGGGAAGAUAAUGACGGUACCGGAAGAAGAAGCCCCGGCUAACUCUGUGCCAGCAGCCGCGGUAAUACAGAGGGGGCAAGCGUUGUUCGGAAUUAUUGGGCGUAAGGGCGCGUAGGCGGUGCGGUAAGUCACUUG